GACGUAGGUGGCGAACGUUAUCCGGAAUUAUUGGGCGUAAAGGGCGCGUAGGCGGCUCGUGAAGUCGGGUGUGAAAGCCCGGGGCUCAACCCCGGAACGGCAUCCGAUACUGGCGGGCUUGAGACCGGGAGAGGAGGGUGGAAUACCCAGUGUAGAGGUGAAAUUCGUAGAUAUUGGGUGGAACACCGGUGGCGAAAGCGGCUCUCUGGCCCGGAUCUGACGCUGAGGCGCGAAAGCGUGGGGAGCAAACAGG
rnacentral:rRNA from 1 species